rnacentral:rRNA from 1 species
AAUAGAUACCCAGGUAGUCCACGCCGUAAACGAUGAGUGCUAAGUGUUGGGGGUUUCCGCCCCUCAGUGCUGCAGCUAACGCAUUAAGCACUCCGCCUGGGGAGUACGGUCGCAAGACUGAAACUCAAAGGAAUUGACGGGGGCCCGCACAAGCGGUGGAGCAUGUGGUUUAAUUCGAAGCAACGCGAAGAACCUUACCAGGUCUUGACAUCCCGGUGACCACUAUGGAGACAUAGUUUCCCCUUCGGGGGCAACGGUGACAGGUGGUGCAUGGUUGUCGUCAGCUCGUGUCGUGAGAUGUUGGGUUAAGUCCCGCAACGAGCGCAACCCUUAUUCUUAGUUGCCAUCAUUCAGUUGGGCACUCUAAGGAGACUGCCGGUGAUAAACCGGAGGAAGGUGGGGAUGACGUCAAAUCAUCAUGCCCCUUAUGACCUGGGCUACACACGUGCUACAAUGGACGGUACAAACGGUUGCCAACCCGCGAGGGGAGCUAAUCCGAUAAACGUUCGUUACUGUAGU